UACGGAGGAUGCAAGCGUUAUCCGGAUUCAUUUGGUUUAAAGGGUGCGUAGGCGGGCUAUUAAGUCAGUGGUGAAAUCCUGCAGCUUAACUGCAGAACUGCCGUUGAUACUGAUAGUCUUGAGUUUGGUUAAGGUAGGCAGAAUGUGUAAUGUAGCGGUGAAAUGCUUAGAUAUUACACAGAACACCAAUUGCGUAGGCAGCUUACUGAGCCGACACUGACGCUGAGGCACGAAAGCGUGGGGAGUCAAACA
rnacentral:rRNA from 1 species